rnacentral:rRNA from 1 species
UACGUAGGGGGCUAGCGUUGUCCGGAAUCAUUGGGCGCAAAGAGCGUGUAGGCGGCCCGGUAAGUCCGCUGUGAAAGUCGGGGGCUCAACCCUCGAAUGCCGGUGGAUACUGUCGGGCUAGAGUGCGGAAGAGGCGAGUGGAAUUCCUGGUGUAGCGGUGAAAUGCGCAGAUAUCAGGAGGAACACCGGGGGCGAAGGCGGGUCUCUGGGCCGAUACUGACGCUGAGGAGCGAAAGCGUGGGGAGCGAACAGG